UUAAGUGUCACACCCGGCUUUAAGGAACAAAGUCAGGUGCAUCUCAUACAUGCGCCAAGAAGACAACAUAUAUAAUAACAGAGUGUAUAGAGAUAAAUGUCAUAAAACAUCAGAGUACUUAUUACAUAGCGGAAGUCUUAUUACAAAAUAAAAUAAUAAAGAUAAAGCGAACUAAGGAUCGUUGGCGCCAAUGUCGACCGAGACACGCCACCUAGAUCAGAUCGAACUCCUCAGUGUUAGGCGGCUCCUCUUCGACCACCUGCUCUUCUCCUGUGGGGGGGGGUGUGAGACAGCAAGAGUGAGCUCACAUACGUUCAUCGCUCAACAAGUUGUGGGGAAUAAUGUGGCAUGAACUCACAAAGGUGGGAGUUCAUGAAGUGUAAGGCUGAUCAAUGAAAUAAAGGCUGAAGCUGAGCAUUGCUUUUAUAAGUUGGUCAAAAUUUUAUUAGCAAUUACUAAGUGUAAGUAAAUACCAAACCUUAAUAAUAAUAAAGUAAUAAUAAAAUAAUCCCAAAUGCGAUGCAAAUGUCAAAUUAAAUUUAAGUUCCAUAAUUAAUCAUGUGAGGGUCCGAGCCGCUCAUGACCGUGAGCACGGCUAGUAUACUAGUUUUACACUCUGCAGAGGUUGCGCAUCUUUACCCACAAGUCGUGUAUCCCAUGUCGCCUGGGUUUGCAAGGCCCUUAGACACUACCGAGGUGAAUGGCUAGGGAUCCACUACGAGGCCUUUACAAAGUUCCACUAGCUUCCGAAAACCCGCUACAGUUUAUAGGAAGAUCCAGUACAGGGUUCCUGGCUGACAGCCAUCGCAGCAAAAUCAACCAGGGACCUCCCCGCACUGACCUCUCCCCUACUGCCCUUGCCCCUUUCGGGUAAGGUAGUCUUCCACUAGCUUUCCUAAUUAGUUAGCCAAGGGCGUCCCAUUAUACCCUUGUGGUAGCACUGUUUUCCCGGGUGGUCGCUCCAUGUUCCCAUUAAUUUAAUGAUCUUAACAUGAACAAUAAUAAUAACAAGUUAAUAACAGAAUAAUCAUGAAUAGUGUAUCUCCAUACCCAAUCCACAUAAAGCAAUAGCAAGUACUACCCAAAAAUAUUUCAGGGGUGAACAAGGUAUAGAGGUAAUCAAAACUGGGGUAACAUAAAGGCUCCCAUCAAAAUUAUCCUAUGCAGAUCAUUAAAAUUAAUAAGAACAUGGCUGGGAAAGUAAGUGAUCAAGGGCACAACUUGCCUUCAAUGAGCUCCUGCUCAGCUAUCUCUACUUGUUGAACCUCAGAAUCCAUAGUGGCUUGCUCGUCUACUCGCAUCAACACAAUACAUACAUAGUAUAGCAUAAAUUAACAUCACAUCAAACAUGUAAAUAAAAUAUACAGUAAAAAUCUAUACAUUAAAAUGAGACCAUAGGAACUGGAAUCAUUAAAUUUGGAAUUAUAGAUUUCAAGUUAUGAAUUUCCUAAGAUUUAAUGUGUUUGAGAUAGGAUUAAAUGAUAAAUUAAUUUUCUUACUGCUUUCAUGACCAAACAGAGACACUAAAUGAUAGAGAGUAUUAUUACAAAAUUUUAGAAAUUGGAAUGGUUCAAUUUGGACUAAAAAUGGAUUUUCUAUGAUUUAUACAAGUUCUAGGGUUUAUUUUCAUAUUAAAAAUCCAAUUUCUAAUCCAUUUAAUCGAUUUAAAACAAUUUCUGGAUCGGGCCUCGAUUUCCAGAGAAGUCAGGGGUUAAACCAGAGUUUUCCCCAAGACACAGCUUACUGUUACCGAGGAUGGCGGGUUGUUUUCAAAUAAACAGAGGGUCUCUUAUGAAAAAGUGCCUGGCCGAAGGGGUAUCGGCCAACGUGAGCCGCCCGAUCAUCUAUGGACGGCUUGGAUUAGGUUUCUUCUACAAGCAAACCGGUACGCACUUCAGGCCCUCGGAUCAAACCUCAACGCCCAUGAUUCUAAGUAACCUACAUUGAUUCACCGCCGACCGAUCGGAAUCGGACGACGUACGAUCCGCCCACCCGAUUCGGUACCUCUCUCCUAAUCUGGGUCGUCGAGCACUAGAUCAACGGAUCCGGUUAAUCUUCUUACUCCCAUUCAAUCCCGACGGCGGCGCAAGGAUUUUUGCGGCGAGCUCUCGCCGGCGCGAUGCGCAUUAGGCACAUACGAGCCUAACCAUCAAAUGUGGGUACAACAACGUCUAGUGGAUAUAAAGGCGAACAUGAGAAGAGGGGGCUCACCGGCGGUAGCGCUGCGUGGAGGUCAGACCACGGUGGGGGGGUCCUCUCGGCACAAACCCCCUGCUCCAGUGGGCAAUUCACGUCGCGCCAAGGUCCCGCGGGCGCCAAUCCCACCCUCGUUUGGAUCCACGCACCCGGCCGAAGGUCCCAGAGCACCCGUCGGAGGAAGAACAGGGAUGGAAGUCCCCUGCCCGUUUCCUGCGCGCUCUCCCUCUUCUAUCAAUGGCGUGCGCGGCUUCCUGCGUUUUCUCCCCCUACGUUGGUGGCGGUCGCGAGGUAGGAGAACAAGGAGGGAGAGGCGAGCCCGGACGUGCUACCUUUAAGGACGCAUGCGAGGCCGAGGUGCCUCAACGGCUUGCGCGAGAUCUCCGCGCUCCGCCAUGCACGGUGAGGUCGUUGGGAGAAGAAGCUGCCCUGACAGCGUGGUCCCGCGUGUCAGCGAGUGAGGAUCCCCGCAGUCUACCCGCAUGCGGGCGAGCCGCGAGCGGCAGGCCGGGGGACCGCGAUGUCGGUGCCCAGCGGGGGAUGGAGAACGCGCGUGACUGUGUCGUGGGUCCCCUGCGUAAGCGACUCAGGCGUAGUGGAAUGCUGGUCGGGCCGUGUGACUGCAGAGGCCAGUUGGGCCAGAAGGGUUGCAGCCGGCCCACUUACACUAAAUUUGUUUUAAUCUUUUCUUUCUAUCUCCCACCUUCUUUUCUUUAUUCCUAAAGUCAAUUUGAAUUCGAAUUUAACAUCAAACCUUGUGCAAAUUUAUUCUCAAAUCAUAUUGUGAAAUGAGAAAUACCAAUUUUAGAAAUAUAAUUACAUUAUUUAUAUUUUUGUAUCAUUUCUCUUCUUCUCAUUUUCAAAAACCCUAGGUUUAAUUUAGGGCUUAAUUCAACUUCUAGUAAUUAUUAUCUUAUUACCAUUAACAUUAUUAUUCUAUUUAAUGCACAAACAUAUAAACUCCAACAUGAUGCAUUCUUUUAUCAUUUGUUUGAAUUAAACUCUAAAUUUUGUGUAUGCUCUUUUUAUGAUGCAAAUGAGGCACAUCAAAUAAGGAAAACACUAUAUAUUCCUUGUACACAAUUUUGAGUAUUACAAAUCCUACCCCCCUUAAAAAUAAUCUCGUCCUCGAGAUUUAGGAGGAACGAGGGAAAAGAUGGGGAAAGUCUAUACGAAGCUCUUCUUCUCUUUCUCAAGUUGCUUCAUCUUCACUGUGUUGACUCCAUUGGACUUUGCACAUCUUUAUCACCUUAUUUCUCGUGACACGAGUCAGUGUAUCCAUAAUCUUUAUGGGGUACUCAGCAUAAGUUAGAUCACCUUGAACACUAAGGUCUUCCAUUGGUAACUGUUCUUCAGGCACCCUGAGACAUUUCUUCAGCUGAGAUACAUGAAAGACAUCGUGAACAUCCGCGAGAUGAUCCGGUAACUCCAAUUGGUAUGCAACCUCUCCCACUCGCUUUAAGAUUAAGAAGGGUCCAAUAAAGCGAGGGGACAACUUUCCUUUGACUUUGAACCUUCUCAUGCCCCGGAGUGGUGACACCUUCAAAUAGACAUAAUGUCCCUCUUUAAACUCAAGCAGUCUUCUCCGGGUAUCAGCAUAACUUUUCUGCCUGGAUUGUGCAGUUCUCAAAUUCUCCCUUAUUUGCUGAACUUGUUCCUCUGCUUCUUGUAUAAUCUCAGGUCCAAACAACUGCCUUUCACCAGUUUGAUUCCAAUACAAGGGAGUCCUGCACUUUCUGCCAUACAAAGCCUCAAACGGUGACAUCUUCAAGCUGGCCUGGUAGCUAUUAUUAUAUGAGAACUCCGCAUACGGCAAACUCUUAUCCCAACUACCACCAUGUUUAAGAGCACAAGCUCUUAACAUAUCUUCAAGCACUUGGUUAGUCCUCUCAGUCUGCCCAUCAGUCUGGGGAUGGUAAGCCGAACUGAAAUUCAAUCUUGUAUCCAAUGACUCGUGCAACUUCUUCCAAUACCGAGAGGUAAACUGUGAUCCUCGAUCAGACACGAUCUUCUUUGGCACACCAUGUAAGCAUACAAUCCGUGCCAUGUACAACUCUGCCAACUUGGCACCUGAAUACGUGGUCUUCACUGGAAUAAAGUGGGCUACCUUAGUUAGCCUGUCCACAAUCACCCAUAUAGAAUCAUAACCAGCAGACGUGCGGGGUAAUCCAACAAUGAAGUCCAUGCCAAUCUCUUCCCAUUUCCACUCAGGUAUCUUUAGUGGGUGCAGUAGUCCGGCUGGCCUCUGGUGUUCAGCCUUAACUCUUCGACACACAUCGCACAUAGCCACAUGUGCAGCCACAUCUCUCUUUAGUCCAUACCACCAAUACUUUUGCUUUAAAUCCUGAUACAUCUUAGUGCUCCCAGGGUGGAUAGAAUAAACUGAAUCAUGUGCCUCCUUCAAUAUGGUUUCCCGAAGACUAUCGAUAUCGGGAACACAGAUCCGAUUCUUGAACCAUAUCGUGCCUUGCUCAUCCUCUGUGAACUCUGGGCCUCUACCCUCUGUUAUCAGAUCCUUGAUCUCCUGGAUUUUGGCAUCACCAACCUGACCUUUACGAAUUUCUUGCUCCAAGGUAGGUUCCAAUUCAAUAGUAACUCCUUCCGUAUGUGUAACAAUUCCCAGGUUGAGCCUCUCAAAAUCUUUUGCUAAUUCAUCAGGUAGCUGGACAACGAAAGCGGAGUGAACAUGCUCCUUCCGACUCAAGGCAUCUGCAACCAAAUUUGCCUUGCCCGGGUGAUAGUGAAUCUCCAAAUCAUAAUCCUUAAUGAGCUCCAACCAACGGCGUUGCCUAAGGUUGAGGUCCUUCUGAGUAAAUAUGUACUUCAAGCUCUUAUGGUCCGUGUAUACUUGGCACUUAGUUCCCAUAAUGUAGUGUCUCCAAAUCUUAAGAGCAUGCACAACUACUGCCAGUUCCAAGUCAUGAGUGGGGUAGUUCAAUUCAUGUUUCCGCAACUGACAAGACGCAUAGGCGAUCACGUGUCCUUCUUGCAUGAGUACACAUCCCAAUCCUUGUCCACAUGCAUCACAAUAAAUGUCAAAUCCUUUCUGUAGAUCUGGCAUAACCAACACUGGAGGUGACAUCAAUCUCUCCUUCAAUUGAUCAAAGCUCUCUUGGCACUUCUCGUCCACUUAAACUCUCUUCCCUUCUCCAUAAGUGAGGUCGUGGGCUUAGCAAACUUAGAAAAUCCUUCAAUAAAUCUCCGAUAAUAUCCUGCGAGUCCCAAGAAACUCCGAAUCUCAGUAACUGUAGUGGGCACUCCCCACUCCAUUAUCUCCUUCACUUUAGCAGGAUCCACUGCCAUUCCUCCAUUAGAAAUAAUAUGACCAAGAAAUGGCACCUUGUCAAUCCAAAACUCGCACUUGCUGAACUUAGCGUAGAGUUGAUUAUCUCGCAGCUUCUGCAGCACCAACCUUAGAUGUUGUUCAUGAUCACUUUCAUUCUUAGAAUAGAUAAGAAUAUCGUCAAUGAACACCACGACGAAUCUGUCCAAAUACUCCAUAAACACCUUAUUCAUCAAAUUCAUGAAAUAUGCUGGUGCAUUGGUUAAACCAAACGACAUAACAGUAAACUCGUAUAAUCCAUAUCGGGUUGAGAAAGCUGUCUUAGGAAUAUCCGAUGGUCUAAUCCUCAUCUGAUGAUAACCCGGUCGGAGAUCAAUCUUCGACACCUCUCAUCUGACUAAAUCCUCAAUGCGGGGUAAUGGAUACUUGUUCUUCACAGUGUCAUCGUUAAGGGACCUUUAAUCCACGCACAUCCCUUGCAAUCCAUCUUUCUUCUGUACAAACAAAACUGGUGUUCUCCGAGGUGAAGACUCGGACGAAUGUACCCAGCCUCUUGUAACUCCGUCAACUGCUUCUUCAGUUCCUUCAACUCCUCUACGGACAUUCUAUAUGGCCGUUUAGAAAUAGGGGCGGUUCCAGGUAAGAGAUCAAUAACAAACUCAACUUCUCUAUCAGGUGGCAUCCCUGGUAACUCCUCUGGAAAGACAUCCGGAAAAUCCCUAACCACCCGGAUGUUGUCACCAACAAACUCCUCAGGCAUAAAGAACAUUGCACGCAUGGAUGAGGAGGUUACUGCAAUAUUAACUUGAAAUCUUUCUCCUUUAGUGGUAGUGAGCUCUAUGGUUCCUUUAGCACAGUAUAUAGACUGCCUUUGCCUUUUUUAACCAUGACAUACCAAGGAUCACGUCUAUAGUGCUCUCUUCUAACACUAUAGGGGUAGUCCAUCCGGGUUAGAAAUACAGGGUAGAAAGGAAGAAUUGUAGACAAGGCGAAUAAUUACGAGAAAUGUUACUGCGGGGGAUUUAUUAGCUAAGUAGAUUAGUGGGUCACCUACUAAAGCUAAUACAAUACCUUAUGGUGGUACAUGCUAAGAUGUCCAUAUAUAAUAUAUCAAUCAAUCAAAGAAGCAAAUCAGACAUUUAACAUCAGCACAAUUCAAACAACAUUUUAAAGAAAAUAGUUUUAAAUUUUGUCUUAGGUUCCCUAUCUCUUAAGAAUGUCAUAGGGGUAGGGAUUCCAAGGUGUGAAAUCCUUCUUGUCCUAGAAUAAAAAGAUAAGAAUGAUCAGAGUAGAACAGUAGAAGGUGAGACAGAAUCAAGAUAAGUAUAGAAUGAAUCAGAGUAAGGUAAGUAUAGAAUGAAUUAGAAUAAGAUAAGUGGGUAAGGGUUGUCCAUUUCUAUCUAGGUUUCGUCCUACAGUCAACAUUUCCUCUGAUACCACUUCUGUCACACCCGGCUUUAAGGAACAAAGUCAGGUGCAUCUCAUACAUGCGCCAAGAAGACAACAUAUAUAAUAACAGAGUGUAUAGAGAUAAAUGUCAUAAAACAUCAGAGUACUUAUUACAUAGCGGAAGUCUUAUUACAAAAUAAAAUAAUAAAGAUAAAGCGAACUAAGGAUCGUUGGCGCCAAUGUCGACCGAGACACGCCACCUAGAUCAGAUCGAACUCCUCAGUGUUAGGCGGCUCCUCUUCGACCACCU
rnacentral:lncRNA from 1 species